CAUGCAAAGGCCGCCGCUGAAAAUCCUUACUGGAUAUCUCCUGCAUAUGCAACGUCACAACCAAAGCCUAUUUUCCAAGAAGUGUCUGAUGAUGAUGAUGAUGAUGAUGAUGUACAUCAAACAAGCAAGAAACCUAAGUUAGGAACUUAAAAAAAAUCUACUGUAAAUAUAGGUUUGUUUUGUUAUAUAAACUAUGGGUUAAUUUUUUUUAAUCAUUUAUUUGACUGAGAAGUACCAUACUUCCCCAAUUGCAGUAAUGACAGUUUAAUACAAAACAAUUUAUGUUGUAUGGGAGGUCAGUUUCAUAUAUUCAAGAAAUUAUUUUUUAAUAAAAAUGCAGUUUCAGGA